CCUACGGGCGGCUGCAGUGAGGAAUAUUGGUCAAUGGGCGCGAGCCUGAACCAGCCAAGUCGCGUGAGGUAUGAAGGUCCUAUGGAUCGUAAACCUCUUUUAUAAGGGAAUAAAGUGUGGCACGUGUCCCCUUUUGUAUGUACCUUAUGAAUAAGGAUCGGCUAACUCCGUGCCAGCAGCCGCGGUAAUCCGGAGGAUCCGAGCGUUAUCCGGAUUUAUUGGGUUUAAAGGGUGCGUAGGCGGCUUUUUAAGUCAGCGGUUAAAGUUGGGGGCUCAACCGUAGAAGUGCCGUUGAAACUGGGAGGCUUGAGUAUGGUUGAGGUAGGCGGAAUGCGUGGUGUAGCGGUGAAAUGCUUAGAUAUCACGCAGAACUCCGAUUGCGAAGGCAGCAUGCCAAGCCGUGACUGACGCUGAUGCACGAAAGCGUGGGGAUCAAACAGGAUUAGAUACCCGGGUAGUC
rnacentral:rRNA from 1 species